AUAUUUGUUUACCGAGGGUUCGAAUCCCUCUCUUUC
rnacentral:tRNA from 1 species